AGCUUGCUGGGCCGACAUUUUGCAAUUGUAUGUCAGCUAGUGCAUUAAGUUAAAAACAAGAUUCGUUCAAAAUGUGGUGGUUCGAAAUAGUUCCAUGUAUCUGUAUUAUGGGAACUUUGAUGUCUAUACCACAAAUUGCAGCCUAUCAUACAGCUGAAUGGCUUUAUGGAAACCCAAUGCGUAGAGAUUUGACAAAAGAGUGGGAUUUAUCAAUGUUUGAGAGAGAUAAUUGUUUAACUGGGAAAUAUUAUGUAAAAAAAGGUAUGGAAGAAAUUCCUGACAUGCCAUAAAAUUAUGGUGUAUCAUAUAUUGUGGUAGUAAAUUUAUGUUAUGUAUAAAUAAUUAAUAAAAUACAUACUUAUAAAAUGUUCUUUACUACCAGUUUCUUAAUGCUCCUUGAUUCGUAACACG